rnacentral:rRNA from 1 species
UACGGGGGGGGCAAGCGUUGUUCGGAAUUACUGGGCGUAAAGGGCUCGUAGGCGGCCAACUAAGUCGGACGUGAAAUCCCUCAGCUUAACUGGGGAACUGCGUCCGAUACUGGAUGGCUUGGAUUCGGGAGAGGGAUGCGGAAUUCCAGGUGUAGCGGUGAAAUGCGUAGAUAUCUGGAGGAACACCGGUGGCGAAGGCGGCAUCCUGGACCAACACUGACACUGAGGCGCGAAAGCUAGGGGAGCAAACGGG